GGUGAAUGUUUGACUGAGUCAGACCCAGAAGCAGAGGUGGAGCAUUCUGAACAAGCAUGAAGAUUCAGCAGCAGUGACUUAAAAAUCAGGAGGGUUUUUAAAAUGGCUCGUUCUCCAGACACCAACAAACAUGAACUUGUUUCCAGAAAAGGGAUGGAUGGUUCUUCUUAGUGCUUGGACUGAUUUUAGAAGCAGUAGAGACUCGGAUGGAAGAACAAAAACAUCCAAAGCGAAUUUUGUUGCCUGAACAUGUGAUCAGAGCAUCUGGACCAGGGAGGUGAAAAGGGGAAGAGAUAAGGAUUAGUCAUUAGUGAGGAAUUUCAGCCUGACCUGGUCCAUGGAGGACUGCAAUAAGACUUCAGACACGAAGACCCUCCCUGCCAGCCAGGGGAAAUAGCUGCAUGCGAAAGGAUCCAUGUAAAAGAUUUACCUAUGUUCAUAUAACAGUGAGUGAAAAUGUACAACUCUGUGUAUGUUAGUAGACAUAAACUGUUUUUAAUAGGUCCCACCUCCAGUGCCCACUGACUUCAUCCACACACUUAAACAACAGAAGCCUCAAAGUCUUCCACCUUAUCAGAUAGAACAAACA